rnacentral:pre_miRNA from 1 species
AGUUUUGCAGGUUUGCAUUUCAGCGUACUUGUGCAUAUAGGGCUGUGCAAAUCCAUGCAAAACUGA